AUUGAACGCUAGCGGGAUGCCUUACACAUGCAAGUCGAACGGAGUGGCGAACGGGUGAGUAAGGUAUCGGAACGUGCCCAGUAGCGGGGGAUCACUACGCGAAAGCGUAGCUAAUACCGCAUACUAUUGGAGCGGCCAAUAUCGGAUUAGCUAGUUGGUGGGUUAACGGCCCACAAAGUCGACGAUCCGUACCUGGUUUGAGAGGACGACCAGCCAUACUGGGACUGAGACACGGCCCAGACUCCUAUGGGAGGCAUCAGUGGGGAAUUUUGGACAAUGGGGGAAACCCUGAUCCAGCCAUCCCGCGUGUGCGAUGAAGGCCUUCGGGUUGUAAAGCACUUUUGGCAGGAAAGCGGUACCUGCAGAAUAAGCACCGGCUAACUACGUGCCAGCCGCCGCGGUAAUUC
rnacentral:rRNA from 1 species